ensembl:lncRNA
CCCCCAGGACCCCUCCCCAAAUCCAUCCAGACCCCCAAACUCACUCAGGACCCCCCCAAACAGCUCCCAACCUCUCCCAGACCCCCCAAAACCUCCCCAAAUCACCCUCAGGACCCUCCCUGACCCCCCCAAAUUUUGGCUUCCUCCUCUGGGAGGUUUUGGGGUCCCCCCCGGGGGUUUUGGGGGUUGAUUUUUUUGGGGGGGUUUCAGGGUGCUGCUGAUGCGGAUGCAGAACCUGCACGGGCUGCGGCGGGGGAAGGACAGCGAGAGCGAGGAGGAGGAGGAGGAUGAGGAGGAUGAGGAGGAUGAGGAAGAGCGGGAGCCGCAGCUGCUGCUCCUCAUGGCCCCCCAACUACACUGGGAACAACAGGCUGCGGGUGACGUCCCUCGGGGGGUCCCCGGUGGCGGCCGUGUGGUCGGAGCGGGGCCAGGUGGAGGUGCUGGAACUGGGGAGGGCCCUGGCGGUCCUGGAGGGGCAAUUUGGGGAGGGGGAUUCCAGGAGGGGGCAGAGGAGCGUGCAGCAGGGAGCUCUGCCCGAGCUCGCCUCCUUCAGCGGGCACCUGGACGAAGGGUUCGCGCUGGACUGGAGCCCCCAGAGCCCAGGUGAGGGACGGGGGAAAAUGGCGGCCAGCGUGAGGGGAAAGGGCGGGAAAUGUGAGGAGACAAAAUGGCGGCCGGCGUGAGGGGAAAGGGCGGGAAAUGUGAGGGGAAACGUGAGGGGUACGUGAGGGAAAAAAGGCAGGAAACGUGAGGGGACAAAAUGGCGGCCGGCGUGAGGGGAAAAGGGCGGGAAACGUGAGGGGACAAAAUGAGGGGAAAAGGGCAGGAAACGUGAGGGGACAAAAUGGUGGGAAAUGUGAGGGGGAAAUAUGAGGGGAAAAUGGUGGGGAAUGUGAGAGGAAAGGGCGGGAAAUGUGAGGGGACAAAGUGGUGGCUGGCGUGAGGGGAAAGGGAGGGAAAUGUAAGGGGACAAAAUGGUGGGAAAUGUGAGAGGGAAAGGGUGGCAAUCGUGAGGAGAAAAAGGAAACGUGAGGGGACAAAAUGGCGGCUGGCAUGAGGGGGAAAGGGCGGGAAAUGCGAGGGGACAAAAUGGUGGGAAAUGUGAGGGAAAAUGUGAGGGAGGAAGGACGAGAAACGUGAGAGGAAAGGGUGGGAAACUUGAGAGGAAAAUAUGGGAAACCUGAGGGGAAAAUGUGAGGGAAAAUAAUGGGAAAUGUGAGGGGAGAAAAGGGCGGCUGGCAUGAGGGGUAAAGGGCAGGAAACGGGGGAAGAGGGUGGGAAAUGCAAGGGGAAAUGUGAAAUGGAAAGAGUGGGAAAUGCGAGGGGAAAAUGGUGGGAAGUGUGAGGGGAAACGUGGGGAAAAGGGUGAGAAACACGAGGGGACAAAACAGUGGCAAUCGUGAGGGGAAAAAGGCGGGAAAUGUGAGGAGACAAAAUGGCGGCAGUCGUGAGGGGGGAAAAAGGCGGGAAACGUGAGGGGGAAAGGGCGGGAAACCUGAGGGGACAAAAUGGUGGCUGGCAUGAGGGGGAAAGGUCGGGAAACACGAGCAGACAAAAUGGUGGGAAAUGUGAGGGGAAAUGUGAGGGA